AGUGAACGCUGGCGGUAGGCCUAACACAUGCAAGUCGAACGGCAGCACAGUAAGAGCUUGCUCUUACGGGUGGCGAGUGGCGGACGGGUGAGGAAUACAUCGGAAUCUACUUUUUCGUGGGGGAUAACGUAGGGAAACUUACGCUAAUACCGCAUACGACCUACGGGUGAAAGCAGGGGAUCUUCGGACCUUGCGCGAUUGAAUGAGCCGAUGUCGGAUUAGCUAGUUGGCGGGGUAAAGGCCCACCAAGGCGACGAUCCGUAGCUGGUCUGAGAGGAUGGUCGGCCACACUGGAAGUGGGACAGCGUCAUGACUCCUACGGGAGGCAGCAGAGGGGAAUAUUGGACAAUGGGCGCAAGCCUGAUCCAGCCAUACCGCGUGGGUGACGAAGGCCUUCGGGUUGUAAAGCCCUUUUGUUGGGAAAGAAAAGCAGCAGGUUAAUACCCCGCUGUUCUGACGGUACCCAAAGAAUAAGCACCGGCUAACUUCGUG
rnacentral:rRNA from 1 species